rnacentral:rRNA from 1 species
GUCUAUGGCCAUACCACCCUGAACACACCCGAUCUCGGAAGCUAAGCAGGAUCGGGCCUGGUUAGUACUUGGAUGGGAGGAAUAGAGUUGGAGUUGGAAUGACACCCCCUGGUGGGACAGGAAUCUUGGUAA